rnacentral:rRNA from 1 species
AGCAGUGGGGAAUAUUGCACAAUGGGGGAAACCCUGAUGCAGCCAUGCCGCGUGUGUGAAGAAGGCCUUCGGGUUGUAAAGCACUUUCAGUAGGGAGGAAGGUAGUGUAGUUAACACCUGCACUAUUUGACGUUACCUACAGAAGAAGCACCGGCUAACUCCGUGCCAGCAGCCGCGGUAAUACGGAGGGUGCGAGCGUUAAUCGGAAUUACUGGGCGUAAAGCGCAUGCAGGCGGCCUGUUAAGUCAGAUGUGAAAGCCCGGGGCUUAACCUCGGAAUUGCAUUUGAAACUGGCAGGCUAGAGUCUUGUAGAGGGGGGUAGGAAUUUCAGGUGUAGCGGUGAAAUGCGUAGAGAUCUGAAGGAAUACCAGUGGCGAAGGCGGCCCCCUGGACAAAGACUGACGCUCAGAUGCGAAAGCGUGGGGAGCAAACAGGAUUAGAUACCCCUGGUAG